GUGAUUCUCACUGAGCAGUUCCCCGAGUACAAGAGCAAUCCCCAGCUGCAGUUGUGAGCUCUCAGCAUUUCUGCAAAUCGUUUUUCAAGCCAAGGAAAAUGAGGAACACAUUACUGGUGUGCAUCUUGGCACAAGUGGAAGGACAGACCAAGCAGAAGGCUUGCCAGCUGUGGGCCAGAUGAAACCCAAAUGCACCCAGGGGAGUGGGAAGGUGCUUUUAUGUCCUACUUCUUUGUUCACCGACUGAUUCAUGCAGUUUGAGCACAGUUCAACAGUAACACAACUGCUGCUGGAUCUAACAGAAGGCAUUGAUGUUAUUUUCAGUGCUCUGAGAGCAACAUUUUCUGGUGAAGCUGGCUUCAAGGUUUCCCCCAUCCCACUGGAGGAGCGAGUGGUAUUAGUUGCUGCCUGGGUUUAAACCAUGAUAAUGGAUAAAAUCCUCAUCAUAUAAACAUUUGAUGGCUUGGUGUGUAAAUUCCCGAGACAGAGGAUUGUGAAAUAAGGAAAUGGCACUGCAAACCCUUGCAGCUGUUCAGAUGAUACAAGUUCUGACACACUAGAAAGCUUCAGGUGAAUUGAAGAGCUCUGAAGGAACAUUCUUUGAUUGGAAGAAGUAUUCAGGUUAGUUUUUAACUGAUGGCAAAUAAAAGAAUGGUAAAGUUCAUCAUUAAAAUUUAAUAUUUAUUUAAUAUUUUUAUGUGUAAAAUACUGGAAGCUAUGUUUCCUCCCUGGACACCCCCCCAGUUCCACUAACAAUGCUUUUAAAGAGUAGGAGAUGUGCAUCUGUAAGUGCAAAAUUAUUGACUAGUAAUGCAUUUUUGGGAAAGUGGCUUAUGCAACUGGUAUGAUUGUUUGGGCUGGAGCCUGAAAUAUUGGCAGGAAUCUGAAACAGUCUGUGCCAGGGAUUCUCUCUCAAAAC